rnacentral:rRNA from 1 species
GAUGAACGCUGGCGGCGUGCCUAAUACAUGCAAGUCGAGCGAACAGAUGAGGAGCUUGCUCCUCUGACGUUAGCGGAGGACGUGUGAGUAACGCGUGGAUAACCUACCUAUAAUACUGGUAUAAUUACGGGAAAGCGGAUCUUAUCCCGGAGAAUAUCUUGAUCCGUAUUGUGCGAUAGUGAAAGACGGUUUUGCUGUAACUUAUCGAUGGAUCCGCGCCGCAUUAGCUAGUUGGUAAGGUAACGGCUUACCAAGGCAACGAUGCGUAGGCGAGGUGAGAGGGUGAUAGGCCACACUAGAGCUGGAACACGGUCCAGACUCCUACGGGAGGCAGCAGUAGGCUAUGUUACGCAGUGGGGGAAAGCAUGGCGGAGUAGGGCGGCGUGAGUUAUGACGGCCUUGGGUGCGUAAUAACGUGUUACUAGGGAAGAACAAAUGUGUAAGGAACUAUGCAGGUCUUGACGGUAACUAAUAAGAAAGCAACGGCUAACUACGUG